AACGAACGCUGGCGGCAUGCCUAACACAUGCAAGUCGAACGAGACCUUCGGGUCUAGUGGCGCACGGGUGCGUAACGCGUGGGAAUCUGCCCUGGGGUGCGGAAUAACUCAGAGAAAUCCGUGCUAAUACCGCAUAAUGUCUUCGGACCAAAGAUUUAUCGCCCUGGGAUGAGCCCGCGUAGGAUUAGCUAGUUGGUGUGGUAAAGGCGCACCAAGGCGACGAUCCUUAGCUGGUCUGAGAGGAUGAUCAGCCACACUGGGACUGAGACACGGCCCAGACUCCUACGGGAGGCAGCAGUGGGGAAUAUUGGACAAUGGGCGAAAGCCUGAUCCAGCUAUGCCGCGUGAGUGAUGAAGGCCCUAGGGUUGUAAAGCUCUUUCACCGGUGAAGAUAAUGACGGUAACCGGAGAAGAAGCCCCGGCUAACUUCGUGCCAGCCGCCGCCGUAAGAC
rnacentral:rRNA from 1 species